rnacentral:rRNA from 1 species
GACGAACGGUCCAAACGUUAUUCGGAAUCACUGGGCUUACAGAGUUCGUAGGCGGUCUGGAAAGUUGGGUGUGAAAUCCCUCGGCUCAACCGAGGAACUGCGCUUGAAACUACCAGACUCGAGGGAGAUAGAGGAAAGCGGAACUGAUGGUGGAGCGGUGAAAUGCGAUGAUAUCAUCAGGAACACCGGUGGCGAAGGCGGCUUUCUGGGUCUUACCUGACGCUGAGGCACGAAAGCGUGGGGAGCAAACAGG